rnacentral:rRNA from 1 species
AACGAACGCUGGCGGCAGGCUUAACACAUGCAAGUCGAGCGCCCCGCAAGGGGAGCGGCAGACGGGUGAGUAACGCGUGGGAACGUACCCUUUGCUACGGAAUAGCUCCGGGAAACUGGAAUUAAUACCGUAUGUGCCCUACGGGGGAAAGAUUUAUCGGCAAAGGAUCGGCCCGCGUUGGAUUAGCUAGUUGGUGGGGUAAUGGCCUACCAAGGCGACGAUCCAUAGCUGGUCUGAGAGGAUGAUCAGCCACAUUGGGACUGAGACACGGCCCAAACGCAAACGGGAGGCAGGAGUGGGGAAUAUUGGAUAAUGGGCGCAAGCCUGAUCCAGCCAUGCCGCGGGAGUGAUGAAGGCCUUAGGGUUGUAAAGCUCUUUCACCGGAGAAGAUAAUGACGGUAUCCGGAGAAGAAGCCCCGGCUAACUUCGUGCCAGCAGCCGCGGUAAAAC